rnacentral:rRNA from 1 species
UUCCAUCUGGAAGAAUCUGGAGACAGGUGCUGCAUGGCUGUCGUCAGCUCGUGUCGUGAGAUGUUGGGUUAAGUCCCGCAACGAGCGCAACCCUUGCCUUUAGUUGCCAGCAGUUCGGCUGGGCACUCUAAAGGGACUGCCGGUGUUAAACCGGAGGAAGGUGGGGAUGACGUCAAGUCCUCAUGGCCUUUAUGACCAGGGCUACACACGUACUACAAUGGCCGAUACAAAGGGCAGCGACACUGCGAGGUGAAGCCAAUCCCGUAAAAUCGGUCUCAGUCCGGAUUGGAGUCUGCAACUCGACUCCAUGAAGUUGGAAUCGCUAGUAAUCGUGGAUCAGCAUGCCACGGUGAAUACGUUCCUGGGCCUU